rnacentral:lncRNA from 1 species
GAGGAACAUGAACCUUCAUUAACCAACAACUGUGAUCAACAACAAAACAGAUUUUCUUUUUCUUUUUUCUUUUUGGUUUUUUCACCAACCAACAACUUUUCAUGUAUCCUAAGGGGUGUUGGUGUAAUAGCAUUAGAGUAUUAGUACUUUAGUAGUACUCAUAAGAAUCAUAUUUUACUAUGAUUCCAUCCUUAAUUUACUUUCUUGUUGUUGAAGCAGUCUGAGAAGAAUCAACAACUGUUUCAGCUCCUCGUUAUUAAUAAAGUUGUAAUUUUGCUUGUUUAAUUAUCAAUAACAUAUAUUAUUUACUAUUUAAAGAAAAUAGUAGUAGUAGUAGUGUAUAUUUGGUAUAAUUGUGGAUAUUCUAGAAUCACCAUGACCCAAAGUGUGAUUUCUGCAAAAUUAUGGGGUCACCGUGAUUCUGGAUCAACCGUGAUCCCAAACAUAGACAUAAUACAUUUAGUUUAAUAUUUUUUCCAUUCAUUGAGAUUUAAACUUCAAUCUUUUUACUACUUCAAUUCUAUUAACCGAAAUCAGUUGAACUACUUAACUACUCGUUGAUCAUUUACUUGAAGAUUAACAUAUAGAAGUUAUUUUCUACCAAAAAAAAAAA